UCAACCCUCAAGCCGUGCUUGCUGUUGGACCCCUCGACGAAAGUUGACGGGCCCCAAAGAUAAUGACGGCGUUGUGGCAACCCCCAGAUGCAAGGAGCUUUAACACGCACGCGUCACGGCGGUACCAUGACCCCAGUCUUUAACAAUUCUUCUAA
rnacentral:misc_RNA from 1 species